rnacentral:misc_RNA from 1 species
GAUGAAGAACGUAGCGAAAUGCGAUAAGUAAUGUGAAUUGCAGAAUUCAGUGAAUCAUCGAAUCUUUGAACGCACAUUGCGCCCGCCAGUAUUCUGGCGGGCAUGCCUGUUCGAGCGUCAUUUCAACCAUCAAGCCCCAGGCUUGUGUUGGGGACCUGCGGCUGCCGCAGGCCAUGAAAACCAGUGGCGGGCUCGCUGUCACACCGGGCGUAGUAGAUUUUAUCUCGCUCUGGGCGUGCUGCGGGUUCCGGCCGUUAAAAAACCCUUUUAACCCAAGGUUGACCUCGGAUCAGGUAGGAAUACCCGCUGAACUUAAGCAUAUCAAUAAGCGGAGGA